AUGAAGCUCACCGUGAUGACCGCCGACGAGCAGUUUCUCAACCUCGACGUCGACCCCGACGAAUCCGUGGAGAAUUUGAAGGCGCUUCUUGAGGUGGAGACUCAAGUGCCGUUGCAGCAGCAGCUGCUUCAUUUCAAUGGCAAGGAGAUGAACAAUGCCGAGAAGCUCAGCGCCAUCGGAGUCCAUGAUGGUGAUCUUGUGAUGAUGGUUGCCUCCAAUAAUAGGACAUCUCAGGAUAUUAUGAGGUUAAAUCCUGAUGGAUCGGCAGUAAAUCCUCAAGCUUUCCAACAACAUAUUCGUGGCGAUUCACAACUUAUGGCGCAACUCCUUCAGAAUGACCCUUCAUUAGCUCAAGCCAUCCUUGGAGAUGACAUCACUGAGUUGCAAAACAUCUUGCGGUCACACCACCAACAAAGACUACAACUGAAACGCAAACAGGAAGAAGAGCUUGCCUUAUUGUAUGCUGAUCCAUUUGAUGUCGAGGCUCAGAAGAAAAUUGAAGCUGCAAUUCGGCAGAAAGGCAUUGAUGAAAAUUGGGAGGCUGCUAUAGAGCAUAAUCCUGAAGCAUUUGGUCGAGUGGUUAUGUUGUAUGUGGAUAUGGAAGUCAACGGAGUACCUUUGAAGGCCUUUGUUGACAGUGGAGCUCAGUCAACCAUCAUAUCAAAAGACUGCGCUGAACGUUGUGGGUUACUCAGGCUCCUUGAUCAGCGUUACAGAGGGGUUGCUAUUGGAGUUGGUCAAUCGGAGAUACUUGGAAGAAUACAUGUAGCGGCAAUAAAGAUCGGCCAUGCUUUCUAUCCCUGUUCCUUCACAGUAUUGGAUGCUCCCAACAUGGAAUUCCUUUUCGGGCUUGAUAUGCUGCGGAAACAUCAGUGCAUAAUUGACCUAAAGGACAAUGUCCUUAGAGUAGGAGGUGGUGAAGUGUCAGUGCCCUUCUUACAUGAGAAAGACAUCCCUUCACAUAUACGCGACGGAGAGAAAUCGUCGAACCUAGCAUCUUCUAGCCAAGGAGCAGCUGGAGAAUCGUCAAAGGCACGUGAGAAGACUCCUGAUGUGCCACCGCCAUCCUCUCCUGCAGGAGCUCAAGCUGUAAUUCCUCCACAGGGAGGAGAUUUUGAAGCGAAAGUCAUAAAGCUCGUGGAACUUGGAUUUGACCGGGCAUCUGUAAUACAAGCACUCCAGUUGUGCAACGGCAACGAGGAUCAGGCAGCUGGGUACUUGUUUGGUGGUUAG
rnacentral:rRNA from 1 species